UUGGGCGUUGAAAGUUGAUAUCGAUAUCGAUCCGUGAAAAGUCGAUACCCUGCGCAAGCAUGGGGCGGCAUAUGGGUGCUGAAAACGCACUCGGCCCGAUCCCGAUUGCAGCGUUAUUCGAAAGCUGUGUCUGCGACCGUGACUGAGAUCAUAUGCGUACAUAUAUCUAAUGUCCGGGGUCGUGGGCCAGCCAGGGUGCUCGAUUCUGUCAGAUUGAUUGUGCGGAUUGUGUUAUAGGAACACUGGUGUAUCGACUUCUCUGCUCCACUAUGGGUGAAGGAUACCCUACCGAAAAGGCCUUCUGUCGCUUACUAUCAUCGAACAAGUUCCGUAAAGGGCAGACAUACGUACACGUGGCAGCAUAUUACGUUCAAUGACACAUCGUCUCUGGAUUAGUAGUUGAACCAACGAGCUCGAAUAUACCCUGCCAGUUGGUUGUAAAUAUUAAUUUUGUUCUUAUAUUCAGUUGUAAAGUCAAUACGGAAGACAUUUCCACACCAACCAUGUGUCACUUAUGUUCUUAAAUACCAGAAACUGUUUAAAUUUUUGUUCUUAUACACUUCACCAAUUAAGAAUUACCUGUACUGAUGUAAGUGUACCUGUUGAAUCACAACAAAAAUAGAAAAAAUGAAUAACAAAAGAGCUCUAUAACAGAAAAGCCACAGAAAAAGUGAAUAAAAAAUUCAAAAAUUCAAAAAAU
rnacentral:misc_RNA from 1 species